UGACCUAUCUUCGCUACGUGUCAGGCUCUCGGCAGAUCACAUGGCGGCUUAUGGGCUAAUAAUAGAGCAAAACUGCCUCCAAAUGUUGUACAAGUUUUCUUUACAUGCUCUUGGGAACAUAUCCUGAUUUUACUCAUGCUUGGUAACAAAUUCAUUUUUUUUUCUGUGGUGCCGGGACUUGAACUGGGCUCAUGGGUGUGUGAACGCCCGCACUCGAACCAUUUGGAGCACAUCCCAGUUAUUUUAGCAUGUUCACACUUAGUAUACUUACAAAUAGUAAGUUAAUGAGCUAGUAUGUUUUUAAUCUUUGUUAUGUUACAUAAAUGAUAGAAUGGAACACGGAUCAUGGUCUUGGUUAUUAUUGACACGGGUUGAAUCUUCUAGCGUUCAACCUAGAGUUGCUUCAGUCAAGUACUUUUCCAAUUCAUGUUUGUAUGCCAUGCGUCCAUGCAUCCGACAUUGUCAUUUAGAAAUAGAGCUAUCUGCUGUUAAAACGAUAGCACUACACAAGGGCAGGGGUAAACAAUGGUAUACAACUAUUUAUCUUAGUUCAGAUAUCAAACAAGACAUUACUCUGUCCUUCUCUCUGUUUGAACGGGCUUCUUUACAUGAUCUUGGGAACAUAUCCUGAUUUUACUCAUGCUUGGUAACAAGUUCAAUUUUUUUUUCCUGUGGUGCCGGGACUUGAACUGGGCUCAUGGGUGUGUAAACGCCUGCACUCAAACCAUUUGGAGCACAUCCCAGUUAUUUUAGCAUGUUGCCAUGUUCGGGAAAGCGGAAAAAAGCGUCGCUUAUGCGCGCUAAAGCGCAAUGCGGAGGCCUUCCGCAUCGAUUGCAUAAGCGCUUAAGCAGAAAAAAAGCAG